GGAGAGUUGGCCGAGUCGGUCGAAGGCGCUCGCCUGCUAAGCGAGUAGAGGGCUAUAAGCUCUCUCGAGGGUUCGAAUCCCUCACUCUCCG
rnacentral:tRNA from 1 species